rnacentral:lncRNA from 1 species
UGCAGGAGAAAUCCAGUUUCAAAAUAAUGUUUGUAAGAGGAACACAAGUUACACUAAAGGGGAGAUUUUGUGAUCUUGUUAAAGACCAGAUUCUGGAACUCAGGGAAAUAAAGAUAAUUUCUACUAACCAUAAACUCUGAAAGAGUUUAUGAUUAAGAAUUCAAUUAUAAAUCAUGAACAUAAGGUUAAUUAACCUAAAGUUUUCAUGGCAGUGGAUACUUGAGAGUUUGAUAUGAUCCUGCUGUCAGUCCAAAGUCAAGAAGUGUACCUGGGCAGGAUUCUUUAGAAUCUUUUUUUAGAUCUCUAAUAAAUUUGGAGAGAAAGAGAGCCAUGCUCUUCUCUUUCCAGAGUGGACACAUUCUCUCUCUUUAAAGUGUCACCUUUUUCUUCCUUCACAUCCCUUCUAAUAAACUCAUUGUGUCUGCUUUUUUCUCAUGUGAAAUGCUCACAAAGAGAAAGCAAAAUCUAUAAACUGUCAUCCAGCUCUUGGAGGAAAAAUUAGAAAUAUUGCAUCCAUUUGAAAUAUAGCAUAAAAUAGCUGAUAAGGCAAAGAGGGAAUGCUGGCAUUAAGAUUGUGAACAGAGCUGAGUGCAAUGCUGCACUCCUGUAAUCCCAGGGUCCUGGAAGGCUGAAGCAGAAGGACCAUGAGUUCCAUGCCAGCUUCAGCAAGGGAGAAGUGCUAAGCAAAUCAGUGAAACCUCUUUCUUUAAAUAAAAUACAAAAUACUGCUGGGGAUUUGGCUCAGGGGUCGAGUGAGCCAAUAAGUUCUAGAAUGACUUGUUAUCCUGUGACAAUUAAUUGACCCACUAUAGGCUGGAACUCAAGAUUCAAUCACAAGUUCCACAGAAGUCAUAUGGAAAAGAGCUGGUGUAUUAUAGAUAGUGUAGUUAAGUUGUUCCUGCACCCUCUGUCUGAUAGGGUCACAGCAUGGGGGAUGCUGUGGCAGAGCUACACCAUUUGGAAAAUGAAACUAUGGGGAAGGUUAAAUGUAUUGUUUAUGACACUCUUGAUAUGGAUAAUAGGGUAUACAUCAAUCAAUAAUGAAAGUACAUGUUGCCGGAAAUGACAGGAAAAUUCCCCAAAUGAGACUAAAGAUGCAAUUAAGACAUGCCUGGAGAUGUGUUUUAAUGUCUCUCAGGAUACAAACAAUAGUGUUAUUCCUCAAACAUUUAUGAAGAAAAUAUGACAGAUCUCAAGGUUCUUGAGAAAAACUUAACAAUUUGCACUAAGCCCCACAUUCUAAAUCUACAAUCUGUGCAACAUACAUUUCCCCCCACUAUCAGGCCCUCCUUUGCCUUACACAGGAAUUCAUGAUAAAAAUGGGAAACACAUUGUUAAUAUUAAUGGUAAAUGGGUUGUGUUGAAGAGCCUGCUCUUUUGUUAAAGAUUACAAAGACAUAAGAAUAGUUGUAUUUUGAAAAAGUAUCAAGAAAACUAUUAAAGGAAGCAGUUAAAUAGGUCACAUGAAAAAGAAAAUUACCUUUGAAGUUAAAAAUAGAAUAAUAUAAAAUUAAUAUACAUACAUUUUAGAAGCACUUCAGAAAAGUGCUUUUAAGUAAUAGGCUAUAACUACUUUAAGUGUUUUCUUGGGACUUAAGAAGUAAGAAGGCUUAACAAUAAUCAUAGGUAUGCUUUAAAGUUAAAGGUUAAUGAUAUAAUUAUACGUAUGCUUUAAGGUUAAAAGUUAAUAAUAGGUCCAGAUACAUGUAGUCGAGUUGUGUGGUCCAGCACUUAUUGAUUGAGGUGAAAAUGUAAAAGCUUAAUCGUGACUGGCAAAGGUUAUAGGAAAAUAUUUUAAACAAUGUACUCAAUAUCUUAGGUAAUUAAUAUAUGUCUGCAAAUAUUGUAACUCUUAAAAA